AGCAGCUGUGGUGGGUGUGUGUGUGUGUGUGGCGGAGAGACACCCACCCACACACGCAUGCAGAGGCAAGAGGCCUCCACAGCAGCAGAGGGAGACAGAGCACGCCCGAGUCCCUCAGCUCCUCCAGCCCCCCCCCCCCCGAGAUUUUGGUCACCGGAGGGCCACUUCCUGCCACAACCUCCUCCCCCGUGAGCAAGCCCAGGGCAUCCGAAGGCCUGUGCAGUCCUACCUCCGAGGUGUGGGACUCAAACUGCUGCUCAUCCAUCUCGUGCUCCUGGAGGAAAACUCGGGCCAGUCCAGGCACAUAUGCACUAAUUCUCAGAGAACAUAAAUUCCUCUGGUUAUGUGCAAUUCCAUUUAUAAAUUGAAAAUCUCCAAUUCUUGAAACCUGGUUCCCAUAAUGUUUUUGAUGACUUACUCAGGGUGCCUGGCUGUGGGACUGGCACGUGGAGGCGGGACUUGACCCUCCCUGGCUCCCCUGAAUGUUGCCUGGACUUCAACUAAUUUUUAAAGAAAUAAAUAAGGGAAAAGGGGGAAAUGAUGACUUUCCAGUGGAGAAACAUAGCAAACACCACCUUAAGCAAGUGAUGAAAGGUGACUCUGCCAGUGAUGUCACGUGGCAUCAUGUAUCCUGAAUAGGAUAUGACGAGAAAGACACCUCACCUCUGGGGUAUUCUUUUCAAAAACCCAUAACCCUGUGUAACUGAGACAAUAAUACCAGAUGAAUCCCCACCUGAGGAACAUUUUGCAAAUGCACUUAACCAGUGCUUGUGAAAAUGAUCAAGGUCAUGAAAUACAAGAGAAGACUAAGAGCCUGCCACAGACCAGAGGACAGUAAGGAGGAAUGGCAACCAAAUGCCACGUGUGUCCUGGAUUAGAACCUGGGCCUGGAAAAGGACUUCAGUGGAGAAACCGAUGAAAGCCAAGCCCAGUCUGGAGUUUAGUUACUGGUAUGUAUUCUUUAAUCUACACAAAAUAGUAAUGUGUAAUGUGUUUUCUUUAAUUCUGAUGAAGUAGCAUAAGAUGGGUGGCAGAGAUCCAAGCACUUAAGUUAUUGUUUGCUGCCUCCCCAGGAUACACAUCAGCAGAAAAAGCAAGCUAGAUUGGAAGCAGGGAAAUCGGUAUUCAAAUCAGGGAUUACAUUAUGUGAUGCAGCUAUCCCAAGAGGUGACUUAAUUGCUGGGCCUACGUAUAUCCUAAAUAUGUCCCUUGCCCUAAAUAUAUCCUUUUUUGCCUAACACCUUGCAUAUAGCAGGUGCUCAAUAAGUGUCAGUCAUUGGUAAUAAAGGAAACCCCAGUGUCAGGGAAGAGUGAAGCUGUCCACAUGGACACCAACGGUCCCUCUUUCCUGGAACAUUUGCAGGGAGGGAGGCUUCAAAGCGUUUGAGGUGGAGGUUUGUGAAGGUCCAAGGCAACCCCAAAGAACUGUGAAGGAAGCUGCUUAGGGAGCAGGUGCACUGCCAGGAGCUCCCAAUACCCAGCUAGGGGGCAUGUGAUCUGGGGUGAAACCCUCCCGCUUCCUUCCAGCCGAAGAU